rnacentral:rRNA from 1 species
UCUUUUAUGGGGUGACUGCGUACCUUUUGUAUAAUGGGUCAGCGACUUAUAUUCUGUAGCAAGGUUAACCGAAUAGGGGAGCCGAAGGGAAACCGAGUCUUAACUGGGCGUUAAGUUGCAGGGUAUAGACCCGAAACCCGGUGAUCUAGCCAUGGGCAGGUUGAAGGUUGGGUAACACUAACUGGAGGACCGAACCGACUAAUGUUGAAAAAUUAGCGGAUGACUUGUGGCUGGGGGUGAAAGGCCAAUCAAACCGGGAGAUAGCUGGUUCUCCCCGAAAGCU